UGGUGAUCACCGCAGAUUUACCCGUCUGUGAGAUUGAUCCAUUUUAAGGUAAGAAAGAGCGACGCAAUUAUGGGACAAGCAUUGAGCAAGCAUGAUGUAUUUCUUAGGGGCCUCAAAGAGUCCCUCAAGACAUGAGGAACAAGGGUUAAGAAAAAGGAUCUCAAAAAGUUUUUCGAUUUUGUGAAAGAUGUUUGUCCAU
rfam:Erinaceus europaeus unplaced genomic scaffold scaffold01135, whole genome shotgun sequence